rnacentral:lncRNA from 1 species
UAUUGCGACAUUGGCUUAUUAUGCUGUAACAAUGAUCUGUAUAGUAAAUCAAUCUCCCUUGCAGGUGGACCUGAUUUAACAGGCCUUUCCUAUGUGGGUUGGGUGAGAGCUGGAUAUGAGACGAACUUCACCUGUACCUCCAACUGCAUCCCAGGAUGCACCUACACCUGGUUGCUGAAGGGGCGCACUUUCAUUGGGAGUAAGUUGACCUGGACCCCAGACGGUCUGGACCACAUUGUGGAGCUGCAGUGUACUGCGGUCAACACAGAGAAUGGGCGCUCCAAGAGCAUAACCACAAUCUUGGAGGUGAAAAGCUCAGUGUCCGUGAGGCCCAGCCCACAGCUCUCUCUCCCCGUCCUCAACCAAUCCUUCAGCCUGGACUGUAACGGCUCCUUCCCAGGCCUGCCAGUGCUCUGGUACAAAGACGGCCAGGUUGUAGCUCCAGACGCCAUGAUAAACCAGUUGGAACACAACACCUCCCUCCACUUUAACUCCCUGCUGCCCUCUGAUGGUGGCUUCUAUCAGUGUGAGGUGACCAUGGCAAACAUGGCUAAAAGCAAGGUCAUAAGCUUGGGCUACCUGCUAAACUUUGAUCAUUGGAGUGUUAGUAUCAGUGGCCCUGACACAGUGUUGCCUGGGAGGGAAUACACCUUUACCUGCCAGGUGAACUGCACUGUUGACCUGGACUGCUCCAUCCGCUGGCCGUUGAGGGGGAGUAUCCUUACUAGCGCCUACUUCUCCGUGAGGAAGAAUAUCCUGAAAUGGAUCCCGUCGGUACCUGGUACGGUCCAGGUCUUCACCUGUGUGGUGGAGAACACAGCAGCUGGACGCUCUGCAGAGGCCUCCAAGACAGUGAAGGUCACAGGUAGUCACUCCUGUUUUAUUGUGUGAUAAAAUGAAGCUUCACUGCAGAAUCAAUUCUUGCAAUGGCAGUUUUGUGAUUGUUAGAGGGUUCUUUAGAUCGUAAAGAGAUGACUCUCUAGACAAACCCUGGAUGGAGACUGAUUACUCUUUGGCAGAUUUAAUAAUGAACUGACCACAUUCAUUCAGCCAUGCAUAAAGGUAGAUAAUCAAUUACUAUUACAAUUCCAAAGUACUGAUUCACCAUAUUGUAAAACUACACUACACUUCGACUUAUAUAAUAAUAUCCAUCAUAAAAUAUUCCUACACUAUUAACACCAAGUUAUCUUGAUACAAAAUGUAUUAACUCAACCUUAAACCCAGUUGUAGGUACUGUUAAAUCGAAAUAUUGAAAUCGAAAUGCUUAGUUUUUUAACCUAGCUAGAAUACCUGCGUACUACAUGGUAAAAUACUGUUUUAGACCGUUUCCAUCAUCUCCAUAAUCCCAGACUGAAGUCAUGUUAUUGUUCCCUCAUGCAGGACCCACAGUAUCAGGAUCUGAAACAGUGAGGCUGAGUGGAGUUUUAGGACUGGUUCUCUGUGUGGGUCAGCUGUUUCUCCUGGAUCCCUAGAGGCGGCGCUAUAAGACUACAGACUAUGGGAAGGACAGAGGAGAACGUUGAAUAAGUUCAGGUUCACCUUCAGAACAAAUAAUAAAACAGGAACCAACGUUUUGAAACUCUUAAUCCUGUCCAAUAAGAAUGCUCAUUUCUCAGAAUAAGAAUAUAAGGAUAUAAGAAUGUUUCCUCUGUUGUGGGAUAAUGAUAGUUGAGUCAUUGGAAGUUUCCAGUGAAUUAUGUUUAUCAUUCACAUGCAGUAGGUAACGAUGAGAAAAUAACAAAACGUACAUAUUGAUGUAAUCUAUGUAAUAUUUUCUUAUUUGCAAUACGUACUGUAUUAUUAUCUUUGUUGUUGUUGAGAUUACCUUGUAAAAUAAACUCCCAAAUGAGUGUGGUAAUAAAUA